rnacentral:precursor_RNA from 14 species
AAUAACGUUAUUUGCAUGGUAAACGUCGUCAGUUGCAAAUAUCGUGGUGGCAUUACAAGUAGUCUUGCCAUCCGAAAUUUGUGAUUGACGAUGUAUCAUGUAGAUUAUUGAAAGAAUU